GACGGGGGGGGGCAAGUGUUCUUCGGAAUGACUGGGCGUCAAGGGCACGUAGGCGGUGAAUCGGGUUGAAAGUGAAAGUCGCCAAAAAGUGGCGGAAUGCUCUCGAAACCAAUUCACUUGAGUGGGACAGAGGAGAGUGGAAUUUCGUGUGUAGGGGUGAAAUCCGUAGAUCUACGAAGGAAGGCCAAAAGCGAAGGCAGCUCUCUGGGUCCCUACCGACGCUGGGGUGCGAAAGCAUGGGGAGCGAACAGG
rnacentral:rRNA from 1 species